rnacentral:rRNA from 1 species
GCGCGUGGAUGAGAGAGUAGGGGAGGUAACACAGUCCGAUAUAUCUAGUUGGUAAGGUAAUGGCUUACCAAGGCUAUGAUCUAUAGCUGGUCUGAGAGGACGAUCAGCCACACUGGAACUGAGAUACGGUCCAGACUCCUACGGGAGGCAGCAGUGGGGAAUAUUGGACAAUGGGCGAAAGCUUGAUCCAGCUAUGCCGCGUGAGUGAAGAAGGCCUUCGGGUUGUAAAACUCUUUCAAUAGGGAAGAUAAUGACGGUACAAAUAUAU